rnacentral:rRNA from 1 species
GAGCAAAUCUCAAAAAGCCGUCCCAGUUCGGAUCGCAGGCUGCAACCCGCCUGCGUGAAGUUGGAAUCGCUAGUAAUCGCGGAUCAGCAUGCCGCGGUGAAUACGUUCCCGGGCCUUGUACACACCGCCCGUCACACCAUGAGAGUCGGGAACACCCGAAGUCCGUAGCCUAACCGCAAGGGGGGCGCGGCCGAAGGUGGGUUCGAUAAUUGGGGUGAAGUCGUAACAAGGUAAC